rnacentral:rRNA from 1 species
GAUGAACGCUGGCGGCGUGCCUAAUACAUGCAAGUCGAGCGGUAAGGCCCUUCGGGGUACACGAGCGGCGGACGGCUGAGUAACACGUAGGAACCUACCCCAAACUGAGGGAUAAGCACCAGAAAUGGUGUCUAAUACCGCAUGUGCUCUACGGAGUAAAGCUUCGGCGGUUUGGGAAGGGCCUGCGUCCGACUAGCUAGUUGGUGGUAUAAAAGACUACCAAGGCGACGAUCGGUAGCUGGUCUGAGAGGAUGAUCAGCCAGACUGGGACUGAGACACGGCCCAGACUCCUACGGGAGGCAGCAGUAGGGAAUUUUCCACAAUGGGCGAAAGCCUGAUGGAGCAACGCCGCGUGCAGGAUGAAUGCCUUCGGGUUGUAAACUGCUUUUAUCUGUGACGAAUAUGACGGUAGCAGAUGAAUAAGGACCUGCUAACUACGUGCCAGCCGCCGCAGUAA